rnacentral:misc_RNA from 1 species
AAGUCGUAACAAGGUUUCCGUAGGUGAACCUGCGGAAGGAUCAUUAACACAAAGUCACAGCUCAAACGCAAGGGCCGCGGGGGGUUCACGCCCCCUCUCAUGCUUUGAGCAUGUCACUUUUCAAACCCCCCUUUAUGUAAACUUUGUUUCUUGUAUUCCCGGGCCAAGUUGUUAUGUUAAAUAAUGAUUUGUGCCUGUUGGUUUCCAACCUUUUUAACCCCUUGAACUGUCUUGGACUGAAAUCUGAGUAAUGAAUUUUUAAAUAAAUUCCUUAUUCUGCCAUUAUAUCAAACGCUGAACAACUCUUAGCAACGGAUAUCUUGGCUCUC